rnacentral:rRNA from 1 species
CGCUCCUUGAAAAGAUUUCUAAUAUAUAAGGAGUUCUGCCUGCCCAGUGACGAGAGUUAAACGGCCGCGGUAUUUUGACCGUGCGAAGGUAGCAUAAUCAUUUGCCUUUUAAAUGGAGGCUGGUAUGAAUGGCAAGACGGAAAUUUGACUGUCUCUUUCUUAGUACUUUGAAAUUAAUUUUUUUGUGAAGAAGCAAAAAUUUGGUCGUAGGACGAGAAGACCCUAUCGAGCUUAAGUAAAAAAGUUUAGACUUAAAGUAGUCUUUAUGCUAAUUAGAUUUAUAUGAUUAAUUUUACUAAGAAGGUGUAUGAGUUUUAUUCUUUUUAUUUAGAUUGGGGCAAUCGCGGAGAAUAUGAAACCUCCGUUAUAAAUGUAAGUAUAAAAAGUAAUUUCUUUAAAGUAAUAGAUUAUUGUAUUAAAAUGAUCCACUCUAGAGAAGUGAACAAAGGAAAAAGUUACCGUAGGGAUAACAGCGUAAUUCUUUUGGAGAGUUCAUAUUGAUAAAAGGGUUUGCGACCUCGAUGUUGGAUCGGGACUUCCAGGAGAUGCAGCAGUUUCCAAGGGUUGGUCUGUUCGACCAUUAAAGUCCU